UCCAUAUUGAACAUAUAAAGUGUUCUUAUUGAUUUGUGGCAGUAAGAUGAGAGGGAAUCAGGUGAGAAGCCUGAGCGAUCCGGUCACUGUAUAUGGAGAGCGACGUUCGGGAUACCAUUGCAUCCUAGAUGUGAGAAGGUGAACCAAGCAUUGACCCAUGAGCCAGGAAACCUGCUUUAUAUGGCGAGGUAAA
rnacentral:ncRNA from 2 species